rnacentral:rRNA from 1 species
GUUAGGAAUAUUGGACAAUGGGCGAAAGCCUGAUCCAGCCAUGCCGCGUGUGUGAAGAAGGUCUUCGGAUUGUAAAGCACUUUAAGUUGGGAGGAAGGGCAGUAAGUUAAUACCUUGCUGUUUUGACGUUACCAACAGAAUAAGCACCGGCUAACUUCGUGCCAGCAGCCGCGGUAAUACGAAGGGUGCAAGCGUUAAUCGGAAUUACUGGGCGUAAAGCGCGCGUAGGUGGUUUUGUAAGUUGGAGGUGAAAUCCCCGGGCUCAACCUGGGAACUGCCUCCAAAACUGCAUGACUAGAGUACGGUAGAGGGUAGUGGAAUUUCCUGUGUAGCGGUGAAAUGCGUAGAUAUAGGAAGGAACACCAGUGGCGAAGGCGACUACCUGGACUGAUACUGACACUGAGGUGCGAAAGCGUGGGGAGCAAACAGGAUUAGAAACCCUGGUAGUCC